rnacentral:rRNA from 1 species
GAUGAACGCUGGCGGCGUGCCUAAUACACGCAAGUCGAGCGAACAGACGAGGAGCUUGCUCCUCUGACGUUAGCGGCGGACGGGUGAGUAACACGUGGAUAACCUACCUAUAAGACUGGGAUAACUUCGGGAAACCGGAGCUAAUACCGGAUAAUAUAUUGAACCGCAUGGUUCAAUAGUGAAAGACGGUUUUGCUGUCACUUAUAGAUGGAUCCGCGCCGCAUUAGCUAGUUGGUAAGGUAACGGCUUACCAAGGCAACGAUGCGUAGCCGACCUGAGAGGGUGAUCGGCCACACUGGAACUGAGACACGGUCCAGACUCCUACGGGAGGCAGCAGUAGGGAAUCUUCCGCAAUGGGCGAAAGCCUGACGGAGCAACGCCGCGUGAGUGAUGAAGGUCUUCGGAUCGUAAAACUCUGUUAUUAGGGAAGAACAAAUGUGUAAGUAACUAUGCACGUAUUGACGGUACCUAAUCAGAAAGCCACGGCUAACUACGUG